rnacentral:misc_RNA from 1 species
GAAAUGCGAUAAGUAAUGUGAAUUGCAGAAUUCAGUGAAUCAUCGAAUCUUUGAACGCACAUUGCGCCACUUGGUAUUCCAUGGGGCAUGCCUGUUCGAGCGUCAUUUGUACCCUCAAGCUCUGCUUGGUGUUGGGUGUUUGUCCCGUCUCCGCGCGUGGACUCGCCCCAAAGUGAUUGGCAGCCGGCGUACUGGUCCCGGAGCGCAGCACAUGUCGCGCAAACGAGUGCCUUGGUACGGCGGCGUCCAUAAGCCCCUCUCUCACGCUCUUGACCUCGGAUCAGGUAGGGAUACCCGCUGAACUUAAGC